GCGAAGGUCUGCAGCUUCACUCCUGAGCCAGUGAGACCAGGAACCCACCAGAAGGAAGAAACUCCGAACACAUCUGAACAUCAGAAGGAACAAACUCCAGACGCGCCACCUUAAGAGCUGUAACACUCACCGCGAGGGUCCGCGGCUUCACUCUUGAAGUCAGUGAGACUAAGAACCCACCAAUUCCGGACACACUGGGUUCAUAGGGGGAGCUUAGGAAAUGGAGGGACCAGUGUUUAGAAAGCGCCUUCUCAGUCAAGAUUGAGGAUGGUGUCCUCUUCCCAGCCCUGAUGUGGCCACCAUGGUGGCACUGCAUGGCAGUGGCCUGUUUUCCCCACCAGACUGGGUGCUCCAUGAAGACUAAAGCCAAGUGUGUCUUUUUGUUCAGCUCAGGCAUAGUCCAUGACAGCGUUCUGAUAAUUACAUAUUGGCUGCAUGUUUGCAUAGCCAUGAGGUCUGUGGGGUGCCUUUCAGCUCUACAAGCCUCUUCUCUAAGGAGUUGCCCUUGGCUGGUCAAGAAGCUCAGGUGUGGGAAGUGGGUUUUACGUGGCAGUCCUGCUGGGCCCCUGCCAGAGUGCUUGGAGCCGCUAAGUCUGGGCCAUGCAGUCUGUUUACAUGAGCAUUAGGGAACAUUGCUGAGAUGUACUGUAAACAUGGGGCAGGCUGUCAGCAUUGUGCUGGUUUCUGCAUUAUCUCGGUGCCAUCUCAGAACAGAGGCAGGCCAGAAAGCCCCUGCCAAGUGGAACUGGAGCCUGAGAGAUAGGCACGAGCCUCCUAAGUCUGGCUUCCCUGCAGGGACGAGCCUUCCUGAGGGUGGGUUGGAUGUGGGUUCAUACAGCAGGGAUGCUGAGCCAAGCUCCCACUCCACUUAGGGGCUUGGACCAGGGUAAGAGAUGGAACUAACUUGUUAAAGGAAAAAAAAAAAUAGAGAAAAAAUGUGAAAGUUUUUCGCUUGAAAAUAUAGAUCAGGGUAGGUUCAAAGUCAUUGUGCUAAUUUCACCCUUAUUAUAUUUCAUUUACUUUCUUCAAUAAGAAAGCUCUUCCUGGAUUUUAGCUGAAUCCAGAAUUGUGCCUUAUCAUGAGUGUGCCACAACAGAGGCAGAAAGACUGAGAGCCAUUGAACUAACUGAGCAGGCCAUGCAGAAUCAUUUAAGGGCUCUUGGAAGGCUUCUUUCUCCCAGAUAAUUCCUUCCCGGAGGCCUAAAAGUCUUCUCUUUGAGUUGUUUUUCUCUAAGAACUUAACCGUGGUCAUAGCCUCCUGAUGGGUGGUCCCAGUGGUGAGCCUGAUGACCUGGCUCUGCUGCCCAGUGCUGCGGCUUUGUAGGCGUGUCUCCUUGGGCUGGUCCCCGGAUGGGGAUCCUGCUUUGUCCUCAGUUUCCUCACUGGUGAAAUGAAGAGUUUGGUCUAGAAUCAUGACUUUCUCUGCCUCUAUGAAUUGAGAGCAAAGAUACCUCCAUCUGGAUGUUAUAGCUCCUCAUGCCAAAUAUCAAGUGUUUGGCAAAAUCAAGGCAUUCUUGCAGAGGUGACUGAGGUGGGAACUAUGGCAGUUCAUCUGCGUGGUGCAUAUGGAACAGAAGGAACUAUUGACCUCAUCCUGUUCUCCAGGCUGCAAGUGAGAAAUGGGGUUCUUAGACUGGAAGAAGCCUCAGUGUGGGUAGAGGCAGCUGGGGCCUGAGGCAUGAGCCCCCAGAGGAAAACACAGGAAGCAGGUGGCCAAUCUUGUUCCAGAAGGGCUCUCACCAGGACUGCCCCAGAGUCCACACCAGAUUAUGAAAUAUGCCUUGUGAUUUUGCAUGAACAUCUUUGGCUGAAGAUUGACAAAUGUUGGAGGAAACUGCAACCUUUUUUUUUUUUUUUUUACCAUUAGUUAUUUUAUUGAGCAAUUACAAGUCCCAGGCUCUUACUUUUUCAUAUUAAUUUUUUACAACAAGUUUAUGAGAUGCACACUGUUCUCAUUUAUCAUAUAAGGAAACUAAAACUAAAAGAGUUUAAUAUAUUGCUCAAGGUUAUCCAGUGUAUUGGUUUGCUAGGGCCCUGUAACAAAGUACCUACAAACCGGGUGGCUCAAACAACAGAAAUGCAUUGGGAAACUGCAACCUCUUAUCAGUUAAUUUUCCGAGGCAAACAGUAACCUGGACUGAUUGUGAUUUCCAUGAGUUUCUCUUCUUGGUUUUUUUCCUUCUUGGUAUUGGUGGCUCAGAUGCAAGGCCCUGUGGUUCAAUAGGAAGAGCAGGAGCUUUAUAUUGGAAAACCUGCACUCUGGCUGGCUGUGUGCUGUCUGUGCCUCAGUUUCUUCAUCUGUAAAAUAGGAAUAAGAAUAUUACCCACCUUAGAUAAUUAGAGGGAGUAUUAGAACUCCUUGAAUACUACUAGGCACACAGUAAGUACUGAAGAAAUGUUAACUAAUUAUUAAUCUCACUAUUUAUUAGAAAAUGGAGAUUAAAGUACCUGUCUCACAGGUUUUUGUGAGAGUCAAAUCCAUUCAUUCAUUUGUUCAACAAAUACAUACUGAGCACCCCUAUGUGACAAGUAGUAUACGAGGCACAGGGCUGCUAUGUUAAAAACAAAAUGAGAUCAUUCUGUACUCCCCAGAACUAACAGACUGGUGGGGGAAGAGAUAUAUUAAGUGAUGCAUAAAAACACAGGCAUAAAUGUGCAAAUUUGUUGUAACAAUGCUUUGAAGGAAAAAGGUGGUGUGCUAUUGAGAGAAUAAGAGGGGAGGCUGCCUUAGGUGGUGAUGUGGUUUGGCUCUGUCUCCCCACCCAAAUCUCACCUUGAAUUGUAGUAAUCUCCAUGUAUGGUGGGAAGGACCUGGUGGGAGGUAAUUGAAUCAUGGUGGUGGGUCUUUCCCAUGCUGUUCUUGUGAGAGUGAAUAAAUCUCACAAGAUGUGAUGGUUUUAUAAAGGGGAGUUCCCCUGCACAUGCUCUUGGCUGCCACCAUGUAAUAUGUCCCUUUGCUCUUCCUUCGUCUUCCACCAUGAUUGUGAGGCCUCCCCAGCCACGUGGAAUUGUAAGUCCUUUAAAGCUCUUUCAUUUAUAAAUGACCCAGUCUCAGGUAUGUCUUCAUGAGCAGCAUGAGAAUGAACUAAUACAAGUAGGGUGGCCACAGAAGACUUCCCUGAAGAGGCAGGUGUUGAGCUCACCUAUGAAGGAUGGGUAGGAGUUAAAUAUUCCAGGUAAAGGCAAAACACACCUAAAGGUCUUACCUUAAGGGGAAAAAGGGUGAGGUGAAUUUGAGCCUAUGAAUGAGGUGACAGGGUUAGCAGAAAAUAGACAGGACAGAGGAUGAGUUCUAUUCUGAGUAUAAACCACAAAAGCAAUGGAGGAGGUAAAUGCUUUUAUAAAGUGUAAAAUCCACAUGUCUAUAACUUACUAUAUUUUCCAGCAUAAAAAGCUAGGAGUUGAAGUUUCACAUGGAGGCCAGGUGAGGAGUGAUUUCACCUCCAUGGCCUUUGCAGUUUGCACUCAGGAUAAAACAAUUGCCUAAAAACUACACAUGUUAUGGCAGAAAGUGUGUGUGUCAGUGUGUCUGUGUAAUCCGAAUUCCCAAAGUGCAUAACCCUUUCCUCGAAUCUCAUCAUCUGAAUGCAUCAGCUCUUUGAGCCCCAGUUUCCUCCUUUGUAAUCAUGGGGCCAUUUCUUCUUCUUUACUAAUGUGGCUGUUUUCUCAUAAGGUUGUUCUGAGAAAAACUCCAGUAAAUGUUGAUUCCCUAUGCCUCUUCUUUUCUCUGUGGCUUAAGCUUCACUGUCUGGUGCUUCUGAUGACAGUCUGCAUUUGAGAGAAGGCAUUAAACAUUCACAGCUGGCUUUUCAUCAAAAUGUGUCCUGCCCACCACACAAUCUUGGAGAACCCAUUGGCAUCUGACCACUCUAGAGAUUGCCCCUUUCUUAAAGGAGCCCCCUGGCCUCCCCUACCCAGUACUAAAAUCCAUCCAAUUCACACACCAUUGCUGUGGAAGUUAGUCCUUCUUUUAAUUCUGAUCAAGUGAGCAAAAGGGGAAAUAAGGAGGGAUCCAUCAGAACAGCUCAUGAAAAAUAUGUACGUUCUUUAAAGGAAGACAGCAUACAAAUGGGAUAUAUUUUUUUUUCCAAAAGGGAGGGGGAAAUACACGCAGGCUUUUAAACAGAAGACUUUAAGCGGGGAGUGAGAGAGGAAAAAUAUGUCUCUUAAAUGCAUUCAGCGCCAUUGCCACAAGGCUGCCGAGCCAGGAUUGUUUAUUAGAAGAUAAGAUAGUGAAAAAUGUAUUUUGCAGAAAGAAAAUAGUAAAGUCAGGUCUGAGGCAGAUAAGAAGCCAAAUUUCUAUUUUAUGCUCAAUUGAGUGACUCAGUUACAUUAUCUGGGAAGCAGGGGUGAAAUAACACCCUUCGGAAAUGAGGCCUGGGUUGCUCUGGGUCUCCUUCCAGCCUUGGCCAAGCUGAACUCUGCACAGCUGGGAUGCUGCCUUCUCAGAGCAGAGUAUUUGCCAUCUAGGGAUGAGGGGAAGAAAGGUUCUGAUCUUUUCUCUUCAGCUCCUUUUUUUCUCCAUCUUUUCAUAUGAGCACUCCAGUUCAGCUUCAUGCUUCCCCUUCUGCUGCUGAAGGUGAGAAAAUAAAAGCACACACAUGCAUACAAGAUGAAGCUCUGCAAAGACCAACCGAUGUUGAAGCCAGAAGCAUCAUUAGAGUUCAGCUGGUAUAGGGGUCUGUGGUCAGUCCUUUAUUUGGCAAGCACAAACAUGUCAUUUGAGUGUUUUUACACAGGGCAUUGUUCUCUAGUUUGCCAAAGAUCCUACUACACCUUUUAAAAAUUUUACCUGGUGCUUUACACAUUUUCAUUGUGUGUCUGGUCCCUGGAGAAAUGUAAGAUGAUUUCUCUAGACAUCUUCCAGAAUCCUCAGUGAAAAGAUGGAGAAGCUUCCCUCCAGAGAGGUCAAGAGGCUCAUUAAAAGUCACACAGCUGGUGAGUAUUAUCAUUACAAACAGGCUGUACUUCUAAUCAUCUCUUAUCCUUUCCUAAUGGUUCAGCGUUUGGGCCCUUUUCCAUUUUGGAGAUCCUUCAUUUAUUAUCCAGUUGGAGGUCAGAGCAAUUUGAAAAAUGGAUAUUGACUUUUUGGGCCAAUAGUCAGUUCAAAAACUCACUUAGUUGUGCAUUGGUAAGCCUGUGGUAGACAGAAUAAUGGCCCCUGAAGAUGUCCAUAGCUGAAUCCCAGAAACCUGUAAGUAAUUUUGCAAAUGUGAUUAAAUUAAGGAUCUUCAACUGGAAUGAUUAUCCUGAAUUAUCUGGUGAUAUGGUUUGGCUGUGUCUCCACCAAAUCUCAUCUUGAAUUGUAGCUCCCAUAAUCCCCACGUGUUGUGGGAGGGAC
rnacentral:lncRNA from 10 species